CCUACGGGUGGCAGCAGUGAGGAAUAUUGGUCACUGGACGAGAGUCUGAACCAGCCAAGUAGCUUGAAGGAUGACUGCCCUAUGGGUUGUCAACUUCUUUUAUAUGGGAAUAAAAUGUUCCACGUGUGGGAUUUUGUAUGUACCAUAUGAAUAAGGAUCGGCUAACUCCGUGCCAGCCGCCGCGGUAAUACGGAGGAUCCGAGCGUUAUCCGGAUUUAUUGGGUUUAAAGGGAGCGUAGGUGGAUUGUUAAGUCAGUUGUGAAAGUUUGCGGCGCAACCGUAAAAUUGCAGUUGAAACUGGAAGUCUGGAGUACAGUAGAGGUGGGCGGAAUUCGUGGGGUAGCGGUGAAAUGCUUAGAUAUCACGAAGAACUCCGAUUGCGAAGGCAGCUCACUGGACUGCAACUGACACUGAGGCUCGAAAGUGUGGGUAUCAAACAGGAUUAGAUACCCCUGUAGUC
rnacentral:rRNA from 1 species